UACGAAGGGGGCUAGCGUUGCUCGGAAUUACUGGGCGUAAAGGGCGCGUAGGCGGAUACUUAAGUUAGAGGUGAAAGCCCAGGGCUCAACCCUGGAACAGCCUUUAAUACUGGGGUAUCUUGAGUUCGGGAGAGGUGAGUGGAACUCCGAGUGUAGAGGUGAAAUUCGUAGAUAUUCGGAAGAACACCAGUGGCGAAGGCGACUCACUGGCCCGAUACUGACGCUGAGGCGCGAAAAGCGUGGGGGAGCAAACAGGGAU
rnacentral:rRNA from 1 species